UACGUAGGGUGCAAGCGUUGUCCGGAAUUAUUGGGCGUAAAGAGCUCGUAGGCGGUUUGUCGCGUCUGCUGUGAAAAACUGGAGGCUCAACCUCCAGCCUGCAGUGGGUACGGGCAGACUAGAGUGCGGUAGGGGAGAUUGGAAUUCCUGGUGUAGCGGUGGAAUGCGCAGAUAUCAGGAGGAACACCGAUGGCGAAGGCAGAUCUCUGGGCCGUAACUGACGCUGAGGAGCGAAAGCGUGGGGAGCGAACAGG
rnacentral:rRNA from 1 species